AGAAUCAACGCUGGCGGCGUGCCUAACACAUGCAAGUCGAACGAGAAAGUGGAGCAAUCCAUGAGUACAGUGGCGCACGGGUGAGUAACACGUGAAUCAUCUACCUUCGAGUGGGGAAUAACUGAGAGAAAUCUUGGCUAAUACCGCAUAAUACCUACGGGUCAAAGCAGCAAUGCGCUUGAAGAGGAGUUCGCGGCAGAUUAGUUAGUUGGCGGGGUAAUGGCCCACCAAGACGAUGAUCUGUA
rnacentral:rRNA from 1 species